CAGUCAAAACAUCUGUCAGAGGGUUUUCUCGUCUUCUCAGGCCUCCCUCGCUGUCAGAAGUGGAUUUCGGGCGAAGAGGGUGGUGAGCAGAGAGUCCGGCUCCUUCUCUUGCUUGGAUUGCCUCCUAAAAGUGGAAUUACAGCACUGCUCCCACACACAGCGACAGCACCAGCAUGGCGAUGAUGGCAACAGCGACGUAGACGUAGACAGACUUUUAGGUGCCAGCUGCAUGGUGUUUCCUUUGGAAGGAGACAAAAAGCUUCCCUCCAAAACACGUCCUGAGGUGAUUCUGGAUCUGGAUGUGGCUUUUCAGACCAGAAGUGACGAAGCAUUCCCCAGUUUAUCGUCUGCUUUACUCUACAUGGGACCAUGUUUUACAAAAGGAACAUCACGCUGCAUUGAAGGAGACUUGAAUCUAUUGACUGAGGCCAUAAUCUCGAAACUGCUUACUGAGUCGGUGGUUGGCGUGGCUAAAAUCUUGGAUGGGUUGUGACAUACCAGAAAUACAGGCUGUGCUGUGAGCUGGCCGGCAUCUUUGGGCUCCUUCCCCAUGUGCACUCGACGUACUUCAUGUUGUGGUACACGCAGAUGAAAUCCUGGACUGCUGUGCCCGCAGCACCUUUAGGAAGAACGAUGAAUAAAACCAAUCAAUGCCAUCUCA